GGGGUUGUGGCUCAGUGGUAGAGCACACGCCUCACACAUAUGCGGCCCUGAGUUUGAUCCUCAGCACCUCA
rnacentral:tRNA from 1 species